CCCCUCCCUCGCCCUUCCCCAAAUCUCGGGUCUGACGUCGCGCCCUCUUAUUCGACUUUUCCCCGCGUCUCUUCCCAGAGUCGCCAAUCGCCUGGGCGCCUUACAGGCGAGGCGGCCCACCCCCUCGGAUCCUGCGCGCAGGGCGGGGCGGGGCAGGGGCGGGAGCCCGGGCGCCGCUAGUCCCUGCCCGACCCCUCCUGCCCGCGCGGGGUGGUGGAGCGUGAGGCUUGGGGACCGGCAGCCGUGGACUCCCGAGAGCGUGGCCUGGCGUCCGCACCGGGUGGAAUUCGUAUUUGGCCAGGAAUCCGGACUCCGAGCAUCCCAGGGGACACGGACCUGGGGCCUCCCGAGCUCUCCGGAGUGUGCUGCCGCUCCCACCAGCCACCAGGGACUCGGAGGCCCUUCCUAGGUCCGGAGAAGCAACGGGGAAACUCAGGGGGAAACUUUGCCAACUUUGCUGUCGGCGCAGGAGAGGCCGCCGGCCCGAAUUGUGCAGCGGCGGUGGCGGGCCGUGACGCGCAGGGUGGACCCCGGGCCAGAGCUGGGCACCCGGGAGCGGGUCGGGAUGCCCGAGGUGGGGCGUGAGGCCGGUGGGCCCUUUGCUCACCGCUCCGCCCCUGCUCCUCCCCCGACCUGGCUCACUCCCCUGCGUCUCUGAGCGGCUCGGGAGGCGCAGCGCCCAGAUGGCCUAGAUGGAUGAAUCUGGCCCUCGGAGGGAAUAAUUUCUUUUCCGUUACCUCUCCAAGAUCAUCUGUUUCCUACCUGACUUGAGCGGUCCCCUCCCCCAUGCCUUUGUUUUUCUCUUCCCCUCCGUCUGUCCUUCCCAUUUCCUCUAUCUUCGAUUUCUAAAUCUUUCCUUCUCUUUCCUCCGCUCCCUCAUUUGUGUUGUUUUUAUGCCUUUGCCCUGGACCACUUUUCAGUUCACUUUUCUCCCUUCUGUUCCCUCCUUCACCCGCUUCUUCUUUUCUCUUCUUCCUGAGUCUGUGACUGUGUCCCUUUACCCCACCCGCAGUUCUUGUUUCUAAUUUUCUUUCUUUCCUCCCCUCUUUCAUCCGGACCCUCUCCUAUUUCCUCCUUGGAUUUCUUGUUCUGUUUCUCAGGUUUUCUUCUCUGUAAAUAUUCUCUCUUCUUCUCUCCCUCUCCGGGAUCCGUACCCCACCCCCCCCCCCGCGCCCCCUUGGAUCCGCCUCCCCGGCGCCCCCUCCUCAUUCAUCCUGGGAGAUGAAUUUGUCGCCUUAUUGGACGCCGAGGCCAGAGCCGUGUGAGGGGGUUCGGCCAGCGUUGCGCACUUUCUUCAUGCAUAUUGAGGAGAUGGUAAUGAGCGCGUUUGCAUUGUUGCUUGGAAAUUUUGUGUUUCCUGCCGCAGUUCGCAAUUCGGAAUGGGCGAGGGUGGUGCGGGCCCAGGACCUCGGUAGGCGCCCGGCCUGGCGGCCGCCGCUGACCCCCUCUGGAUUCCCGGGCUCUCGGGGCCGGGGGAGGAAGCGACCUUGCCGAGCUCCUGACCGGCCGCCACCUCCUCCUUGGGUUUCUCGACAAAGGCCGGCGCGCUCCCCUCAUUAAAGCCUCGUUACUGGAACCCCCGGCUGGCUCGCGACGGCUCCUCCGAGCCCCCUGCUCACCGGCCUCUGAGCCCCUCCCCCGAUGUUGAGAGGCCUGUGAUGGAGCGCCACCAGAAAAUUGGUGGCUGACAACGUCGUCUAUUGGCAAUAAAUUGUUUGCGAUUCCGAGUGACACGUUGCGGAUCAAAUACAGCCACACUGUGUACCCUGCUGCACUCGCUCCUCGUUAAUCUUGGAGGGCGCCUUGGCAUCGCUGGCAAGGAGAGGUUGCGCUCAGGCCUCUCGGCUGUCAGGACCCUGGUCCUGCCUGGACUUAGCCAGGGCAGAGCCCACUUGAGUCAUUCAGGAGGGACUGACUACCCCUCCCUGAGAAGGUCCAAGGAGCUCAUGAGGCAUGACCCAGGCGCACCUCUCAAUGAGCAGAAGGUUAUGAAAGUCAGGAGCUUCCAGGCGCAAACUCUGAAUUGAUCUUGUAGGGAAUCGACGUGAGCCUUGCUGGAAUUUAGGACAUCAAGGUCUGGCUUUGUCUGGAAUUGUCUAGUGUCGACUUUCCCAAACUUCAAGCUUUCUGCGACCACCUUUAUUAUUUACUUAACGUUUUCCCUUAAAUUGACUCAUUUUGAAAACCUAAGUACAUAUUUUUGGAAAGAAAACCUGAUACAACCACUGUAAAUUGAAAAGUAGCUGUUCCUCACCAGAAAAGGAAAUGGUAAAAGAUAAACACAGCUAAAACCAAGCAAUGUUAAUACAUUUUAGCCCUUCUGCUAGGUUGGAAAAACUCUUAGAGGUUCAGGUGUGUGUGUGUGUGUGUGUGUGUGUGUGUAUUAGCAAGUGUUGGGGAUGUUCAAUACUGAAUCUUUCUCAGAAGAAAUGAGACAAUUGAAAAGAAAACGUUUCUCACUAUUC